rnacentral:rRNA from 1 species
UACAGAGGGUGCGAGCGUUGUCCGGAAUCACUGGGCGUAAAGGGCGCGUAGGCGGCCGAUUAAGUGUGUGGUGAAAGCCCGGGGCUCAACCCCGGGUCUGCCGUGCAAACUGGUUGGCUUGAGCACUGUAGAGGCAGGUGGAAUUCCGGGUGUAGCGGUGGAAUGCGUAGAGAUCCGGAAGAACACCGGUGGCGAAGGCGGCCUGCUGGGCAGUAGCUGACGCUGAGGCGCGACAGCGUGGGGAGCAAAC